AAGGGUAGUUAGUUCCCUGAAGCCCAACCGACUCAACAUACAUGGGUGUAGUCUUUACAUAACCAACCAUUAGCUUCCACCAUCUAACUAUUUGAAAUCAAAUUCCGACUUGAUUUGUUGAUAAUUUUUCACAAUUCUUUUAACAAUUUAGGACCGUCGUAUGACUCUUCUCAUUAGAAUUCUUGAUAACCUUAAACCUCUACUUGAUACCACUGAAGAAUGAAAAG
rnacentral:misc_RNA from 1 species